AUGCUACUGAUGGACCCCUUUGGCUUCCUGCUUCUGAAUGGAUUGUCUGUAAAGGACUUCUUUGGUCCAUGCAGUCAGGCAGAAGACUUGACCCCAAACUUGAGUCCUCUGCACAUGGUCCCCUGCCUGUUCUAUCCCACGUCUCUUAAGCCAACCCAGCCUUCAGCACCAGGCACAGCCCACUGCAGUUGUGAGAUGUGUUUCCUGGAAGGAUUUCAAAGCCACAACCAGGUGCUUCCCAGCCUGCCCCCUGCAAGUGCCACCAGCCUGAACAGGCAGACGUGGAUUGUCACAGAUGCCAUUACCCUGACCACUGCUGAGCACACCAUGAGCCAUGACCCUGCAGGGGCUGAGGACCCGAGAUUUUGGGGUUGAUGACACAGAAGGAGCUCCACAAGCAGCACGGGCACCACAAAGCUGUGGACCUGCCACCCACUGAUUCAUGUCAGCGAGCAGAUCAGGUCAGGCUCUAGGUUUCUGGUGCUGGUUACAGGGCUGAGGUGGUGAAGAGGAAAUAGCAAAGCUCAGGCUGGGCUCAGGGUGCUGCCAUGAACUGUGCCAG
rnacentral:lncRNA from 14 species